rnacentral:rRNA from 1 species
GGGGAAUAUUGCGCAAUGGGCGAAAGCCUGACGCAGCGACGCCGCGUGAGGGAUGAAGGCCUUCGGGUCGUAAACCUCUGUCAGGAGGGAAGAACCGCCAUGGUGCUAAUCAGCCAUGGUCUGACGGUACCUCCAAAGGAAGCACCGGCUAACUCCGUGCCAGCAGCCGCGGUAAUACGGAGGGUGCAAGCGUUAAUCGGAAUCACUGGGCGUAAAGCGCACGUAGGCUGUUUGGUAAGUCAGGGGUGAAAUCCCGCGGCUCAACCGCGGAAUUGCCCUUGAUACUGCUGGACUUGAGUUCGGGAGAGGGUGGCGGAACUCCGAGUGUAGAGGUGAAAUUCGUAGAUAUUCGGAAGAACACCAGUGGCGAAGGCGGCCAACUGGCUCGAUACUGACGCUGAGGUGCGAAAGCGUGGGGAGCAAACA